AUUGAACGCUGGCGGCAUGCCUUACACAUGCAAGUCGAACGGUAACGCGGGGCAACCUGGCGACGAGUGGCGAACGGGUGAGUAAUGCAUCGGAACGUGCCUGGUAGUGGGGGAUAACUGCUCGAAAGAGCAGCUAAUACCGCAUACGACCUGAGGGUGAAAGGGGGGGGUCGCAAGACCUCUCGCUAUCAGAGCGGCCGAUGUCGGAUUAGCUAGUUGGUGGGGUAAAGGCCCACCAAGGCAACGAUCCGUAGCUGGUCUGAGAGGACGACCAGCCACACUGGGACUGAGACACGGCCCAGACUCCUACGGGAGGCAGCAGUGGGGAUUUCUGGACAAUGGACGCAAGUCUGAUCCAGCCAUGCCGCGUGCGGGAAGAAGGCCUUCGGGUUGUAAACCGCUUUUGUCAGGGAAGAAAUCUUCUGGGCUAAUACCCUGGGAGGAUGACGGUACCUGAAGAAUAAGCACCGGCUAACUACGUGCCAGCCGCCGCCGUAAUAC
rnacentral:rRNA from 1 species